UCUGAUACGAAACAAGAAGGAUACGUUGAGCGUAAUGUCUCACUGUAAUGUUGUGUACAAGAUCACAUGCAACGAAUGCGACGCUUCCUAUGUCGGCCAGACAAAACGACAACUCCAUACCAGAGUUAAUGAGCAUAAGAGAGAUAUUUUAAAAAGAGGGGGAUCCCCUUCGGUUAUCUCCAAUCAUAGAUUGACCUCCGGUCACGAGUUUAAAUGGAACGAUGUACAUAUCCUUGAUGAGGAGAGUUCGUAUAAAAAAAGACUCGUUUCUGAAAUGGUUAAUAUCAAACUACAACCAAACUCCCUCAAUUUGCAAACCGAUACGUUGGCGUUACCGGAGGUUUAUCUUCCUAUCCUAGACUUAUUUUCUUCCCAAUAACCUUAUUUUUAAUAUUUUCCUGGGCUGUUUGUGUGGAUGUUGUGAUCUGUUGAGCGCUCGAUUUAUCCCAGUCGCCUCUAAUACAUCAGAGAGAAAUGGUGAAAUAUGUUCGUGUGUCGUGGUUAAGUCUUGUUUUGCAGUACAUAUAAAGAAAGUUUUAUUAUAUAUAAUGACUCUGCUACACUAUGUUACACGGCUAACUGCUCUUGGAAUGACAAUUGCAAUGACUAAUUUUUACUGGAUUUUUUAUUUUUGUUGACCUCAAUUACGACUUACAAUUUAUAAUAGAUGUUUCCGAUUUAUAUUUUUGAUUUAAUAUGUGAGUAUACAGCUGUUCAUUUUUAUUCUGGUUUUUCAGCCGAACGACAAAUUGUUUAUACAUGUUUGAUUUGUAACAGGAUACCGCUUUUUUGAAAUUUUAAAUUAACAUUGAAGAUGAUCCAAUGAUGUGACCGAAACGUUUGUUAUUGAUUCAUCUGUACCAUUGGAUGAAUAAUAAAUUGAUCAGCUAUCAACAACCAGCUUGCUCGUUUACCGUGAUUAUUACCAAUAUCAAGAUACGAGCCACUACACUACUAUUUUAAUUGAAAUUUAUAUAUUAAGUUGCAUAAUUUUUGUCGCAUUUCGUGCUUAUCGUCAAGGCACAAUAAAUUAUUAGAGUUGUGUUUGAAUGUUGCUAACGGGAGGCUAGACCCACCGGGACGGGACGCGAACCAGCAACCAUCAGACUUCCAGUCCGACGCCUAACUUGCUGCGCUACCACAGUAUAAGUAUAUACAGUAGCGACAGUGCUCACAAAUUGGCGAAGUAAUUUCCUUCUGCGCAUGCGUUGGCUGCACAGCUAAGAAUAUGGCGGCUGUCAUACAUGUGCACAUAUACAUAUAGAAUACUUCGCGCGACACACUACUGCGUACAGCGCUCGCACAGCCUUCAACAUGGCUGAUCAUCACGUGACCGAAUACGGCUAUAUCAAAGGAACCGACAGCUACUGUCGCUACUGUAAAUACUUAUACUGUGGCGCUACGCUGUAGCUCGACAAUCUGAUUAAAAGCAAGGAUACUAAAGGAACAUACUGAAAUUUACUCCGCGGGUUCUCGUAAACGCUUGAGAGGCGCAUCGUCUCCGGAUAGUAUAUGUUACUUCUAUUGGGUUGAGUAAAAACUAAUUUCGUAUUUUUUGGUCAAAGUCAAAGACAAAAUUUUGAUAUUAAAAAAUAACUUUAUUAAACAAUGUAUGCACCAUUUUUUUCAAUAACAUUUCGCCAUCUUUCAGGUAAUUUAAGAAUUCCAUCCUCCCAAAACUUCCCAGUGUUCUGAGUGAAAAAUUCCUCAAGGUGUUGUUUGCAAGCUUCCAAAGAAGUGAAAUUUUUUCCAUUAAGCGAAUUCUGUAACGAUCUGAAUAAGUAGAAAUCUGAUGGUGCCAGGUCAGGUGAAUAUGGCGGAUGAGGCAAGACGUCCCACCCAAGCUGCAGUAAUUUUUGACGGGUUGCCAAAGAUACGUGCGAUCUAAUGUUGUCUUGAUGGAAGAUGACACCAUACGAUUGCUCAAUUCUAGUCGCUUCUCGUCGAUUGCUGCCUUCAACUGGUGCAGUUGGGAACAGUACUCCUUCGAAUCAAUUGUUUGAUUUUGUGGAAGCAGUUCAUAAUAUAUGAUUCCUUUCCAAUCCCACCAAAUACACAAUAUAACUUUUUUGUGUGUAUAUUUUGCUUUGGUGUGGUUUGCGGCGAUUCAUCUCACUUCCCUCACGAUCUUUUGCGCUCAACAUUCUUGUAUACAAUCCACUUUUCGUCGCCCGUUACUAUUCGUUUUAAAAAUGGAUUGUUUUCGUUACGUUUGAGCAAUGAAUCGCAGAUGGAGAUGCAGUCCAUUAAAUUUUUUUCAGUCAAAUUAUGAGGUACCCAAAUAUCGUACCGAGACACGUAGCCAAGUGUGUGCAAGCGGUUCACAACGGUCUUCUGAGAUACGUUGACAAUUUGUGCGAUAUCUCAUGUCGUAUAAUGUGGAUUAUUUUCAAUCAACGUCUUGAUUUGAUCAUCAUCUGCAACCAAUGGCCUACCUGAGCGCUUUCCAUCUUCACAUGUCGUAUCACUAGCACGAAAUUCCGCAAACCGGUUUUGGCACACACGUUCGCUUACGGCAUCCUCCCCAUACACAGCACAUAUCUUUUCUUUAGUUUGCGUUGCGUUUUUCCCUUUGUGAAAAUAAAAAAGCAUCAAAUACCGAAAAUACUGCUUGUUUUGCUCUAUGUUUACAAUGCCACUAAAUACAAACUACUGAAUCGAUUUUGAUGAAUGAUGACUUUAUACACACAGGAAAACAUAACCUUUUAGAAAAAUAAUGGUAAUGUCACAUCUUGAGUGAAGUUAGCUGCCAAUAUUUUUUCUUAAUUACAUCUACCCAAAAUACGAAAUUACUUUUUACUCAACCCAAUAUAUGAAUACAACAUACCUGUAAAAGCUGGGCAAAAUCGGUGACCCGGUGGGUCUGUCCUCCCCUGUAGUAUGCAAAGGUAAUAUGCAACUUAUUAGCUCAGUUUGAAAACAAAUUUAAUAAUAAUUUAUUGCACCUUGAAAAUAAGCGCACGACAGAAAUAUGACAGAAAUUAUGUAACAACUUAAUAUUAUAGUUUCAUGGGGAAUGUUGAAUUACAUUAUUUUCGUUGUAAUAAGUUAUCUUGAUUCAAAAAUACAUAAUUAUUAUAAUUAUAAAAGAUAUAUUAUUAAAGAUUAAUACAGGUAAUUAUUUAGUAAUACGGAUUACCUCCCGAUUUCAAUAAUGUUUUAAUAUGUCGUCAAAGUCAUUAACCUGAGUGAUGUUGUGAAGGUUGUGAAGUCGGCGCUUAUUGUUUAUUAAAACAUUAUUAACAAAUAAACUUCUUUUGUUAAUAACUUUUUAAUCAACAAUGAGCGCCGACUAAAACCUUCACAACAACAUCUUAGGGUGAUGACCUUGAUAACAUAUCUCAGAAUUAUUGAAAUUGGAAGGUGGUCCGUAUUACUGAACAGUUACCUUAAUACACAAUUUGUUAAUGGAAAAAAACUUGGCUGGAUUUCGAAA